UCAUACUUUACAACUUUGUGGAUCACGUAGCUCUUCUAAAAUAUCAGUUAUUUCAAUUCUGUAGAAACUCAUCGAAAUGAAACUGAUUUAUCUGUUGCUAAUAACUAUGAUAACAAUAUCUUCAGCAAACCCUUAUCCAACGUUGUCAAAUUCGCCAUGUCCAGCAAAGCACGUCGAUUGCUACCGGCCUCCAGUACGAGAGCAACAUGGUGCGCAAAUGAUGAUGUUAGGCCUUUGGCGUGCUGGACCGAAAAAGGGACAACCGUUCUAUACACUGGAAGAAAUGGAGGAAAACCAGCGAUUAUUCAAGGAAAUGGAACACAACGGAAAUGUGAACCUAAUUAGUAACGCGGAGAAAUCUAAUAGUGAUGAAUGAUUUCAAAUGGCCGUAUACACAUAAAAUACAACCUACCGGAACUCACAUGAUGCUGAAUCGUACUCGUCACAUGGUGUGUGUUUUUGAAUAACAAGCAUGCUUCGUCCAACAAUGCUGUACUUCUUAUUUAUUCAAUUGAAUAUGAGCAUAAAAAUAAUAUAGGUAUUGUUCCUCUCAAACCUGCAAUGAAGGGUAAAUAAAACGCAAACAUACA